rnacentral:rRNA from 1 species
GAAGCCCCGGCUAACUACGUGCCAGCAGCCGCGGUAAUACGUAGGGGGCUAGCGUUAUCCGGAAUUACUGGGCGUAAAGGGUGCGUAGGUGGUUUCUUAAGUCAGAGGUGAAAGGCUACGGCUCAACCGUAGUAAGCCUUUGAAACUGGGAAACUUGAGUGCAGGAGAGGAGAGUGGAAUUCCUAGUGUAGCGGUGAAAUGCGUAGAUAUUAGGAGGAACACCAGUUGCGAAGGCGGCUCUCUGGACUGUAACUGACACUGAGGCACGAAAGCGUGGGGAGCAAACAGGAUUAGAAACCCUAGUAGUCC